GCGAGCCACGGCGAUUAAGUAAUGAUGGAAAGCCCGGUUGCAACGAGCAAGCCGAGCGAGCGCUACGAUUUUUGUUAGAUGCGCCUCGAUAGGCAUCUUCUGGCUGGAAUCGGUGGCCUUCGCGAUUCUUCGAUAGUUUCGGGUUUCGUGUAAGAUGUUUCUCUUUUCGAUUGGGACAUUAGCGAUUUACCUUGCGGUAGAUUAUUCUGAAAAUCUGAAGUACACGAGUAUCUGAAAUUGGGUCAAUCUAUUUUCUACAGGUAAGACAUUCGGUGGAUUAUUUGAGCGAUUCAAAAGACAAGUUCAUUAAUUUAUAAAUGUUAAUUAUAGCUUGCCAAAGGAAGCUGUAUUUCGG